GUCCCUUCAGGGACAUACGCCGAUAAAAUUGGAAUGAUACAGAGAAGAUUAGCAUGACCCCUGCGCAAGGAUGACAUGCACAAAUCAAGAAAUGGUCCAAAUUUUU